UACAUUGUGCCUGUUUGCCUGAAUUUGGA
rnacentral:piRNA from 1 species